GGUAGACUGGACUAACAACGGAUUAAUUGCUGCUUUUAAAAAAGGAUUAUCCGAGAAUAUACUUGACGAAAUUGCUGCCAAAGAUCUACCGAAAAUAUUAAACAAAUGUAUUACCUUUGUGAUGAAGAUUGAUAAUAGACUUAGGACCAGAGAAAUUACUAGAAGCCGAACCAGACGUAUGACCUUGUCACUAGCAUCUCGAUUCUCCAAACCUGUUGUCCCU